UUUAUAUAAAAAGAAGAAAGAUGUAAAACGCAUAAUACAAGUUUCCACAUUAGGAAACUAGAAAAAGAUGACAAAAGUAAGGCCAUAGCAAGUAGAAGAAAAUAAAUAAUAAUGCCUAGAGCAGACAUUUGUGAGAUUGGAAACAGGAAAUUAAUGGAAAAAAUAAAUGGAGACAAAAAUUAUUUCUUUAAAAAGAUCGGUAAAAUGUAUAAGGCUCUAACAAGAUUCAGUAAGACGAGAGUAGGGCACAGUCUGCUAACUUGAGAAAAUAAAGUGUCACAAGUUCCAUAUAAUUGUAAAGGAUUACAGAAGAAGAAAGAGAAGGAGAAGAAACUAUAAACAAGUCUGUCCACAAAUUGGAUAAUCCUGAAAUGAACCAAUUCCUUGAAAAAUACAAUAUGUUCAAUCUCACAAACAAUUCCUCUUCUGGGUACAUAUCCAAAUGGAUGAAAUCACUGUAUCUGUUCCCCAUGUUCACUGCAUCAUUAUUUACAACAGUCAAUACAUGGAAUCAACCUAAGUGUUCAUUUAUGGAUAGUUGGAUAAAUACUGUAUGAUUUCACUUAAUGUGGAAUGCCAAAAAACCCAAACUCGUAAACAGAGAAAAUAUUGGUGGUUGCCAGGGGUAUUGACUAGGGUAUUGAUUAGGAUCUUUAUAGUUGAAAUGUUUAGUAAAAUAAUGCCCUAACAAGUUUUGAACAGAUACAAAUAGUUUACUGUUCACAACUUUGAAAAUGCCAAAAAAUAUAAGAAAACAUAGAAACAAUUUUCCAUUUUGUACCCACUGAUAUUGCCACUUGUCAUAGUUUUUCAAAUACUCUAGGGGUAUUGACUAGGGGUGGGAAAAAUGGAUGGUAAUGGUCAGAAGGUACAAGUCAUAAGAUAGAUAAGUUCUGGGGAUUUAAUGAACAGCACGGUGACUAUCGUUGGCAGUGGUUUAGUGUAUACUGAAGAGCUGAUAAACAUGCUCUUAAAAGUUCACGUCCCAAGGAAAAAACAAUUGUAACUAUAUGAGGUGAGGAUGGUUAACUAAAUCUAUUGCAGUAAUCAUUAUGCAAUGUGCGCAUAUAUGAAAUCAUUAAGAUAAAUAAACAAUGAUGUGCUAUGUAAAUUACACCUCAAUAAAAUUGGCCAAAAUGCAGAGCUUAUAUCCAUUACAUCUCAUAGAACUUUUCAAAAAUGAAAGAAACGACAAAUAAUAUCAAGUAGAGAGAGUAAGAGUUAUGCAUGUGGGAAGACCUAAUGUUUAACUUUAUUAUUCACAGUUUAGCUUUGGUUUGACUCAUAUGUUCAUAGGUCCUUUUCAUGUUAGUAAAAAUAAUAAAAUGAUUAGAUAAUAUCAGGGCAGAAUGAUACAAUAAUGAGCGUUUUAAAACCAUGGCUGUAAUGUUUAAUCUGAUUCUCUACAACUUUUCUCCCCAAAGUUACAAAUGAUAAUAAAAUUUUUCCAAAGUCUAUUCAAAUGGUGUUGAAACUUCACAGUGAAUGACAUCGACAAAUUAAUUUCUAUGAUAUCUUGAAGUAGAAGACCUGUGCAUUUCUCUGUGCAUUCAGACAUGGAACUUGACAACCUAUUCUGCACAGGGGAACUGGUAAUGCCUUGACUUUAGGAAAAGGUGGACAGUUGCUAGUCUUCUGUUUCCUUUUUUUUUUCUUCCUUGUGGCAAAGGGUGGAGUGAUGUGUGAAUAUGUGAUGUUCUUCUGAGGUUUCUGGCAUGUAUCACACCUCUGACCAUGAUCUCAACUGGAAAACUCGAGCCAAUUAUAUUCCCAUAGGUGUUAGCGGACCUUAAAUCAUGGUUUGGUAAUGUGUUUAAAGCUAUAAUUUUAAUAGUCCUGAAAUACUCAGGUUUUUUGCUAGGAAGAUAAUGAUAUAAAGCUAAGAGCUAUGGAUUCUUUAAAACAGAUGUUGGUAGAUGGCUUUUCUCAUUACACAAUUACAGACAGAAAAGUCACAUAGAUUACAACCUGGAGGAUGGUCUUGGAGUCGUACAAUCAUUCUGUUCUCAAUGGUUAGAGAAAAACGUAAGAUGUCAGAAAUCAGUGUGUAAUCCUUUAUGUUCAUUCCAGAAUUUUUUUAUAGGGGUAAAUUGUUGGUUAUUCAAGAGAUCACUAUAUAACUUUUCCAACUGUAUGAGUCUUUAUAGUUGAAAUGUUUAGUAAAAUAAUUUCCUAACAAGUUUUGAACAGAUACAAAUAGUUUACUGUUCACAACUUUGAAAAUGCCAAAAAUAUAAGAAAACAUAGAAACAAUUUUCAUUUUGUACCCAUCCAUAUUGCCAUGUCUCAUAGUUUUGCAAAUUCUCUGUGCUUGUGUCACAGGUCACAACCUCAGGAGAUUGUUUAAGCAUGAUAUGAAACCACUGCCACCCAUGGAGGGCCUGGAAAGAUCUUAGAAUAUUGGUAGGUGGCAUUUUUAAUAAUGAAUGGUACGUACUUAACAAAACUUUGUCUUGGUCAGCUAUAAGACAAGGGGUUUUCUGAAAAGUUAAUGUAAUCACCGAAACUGAAAAGUUUAUGUCAUCACCUGUAUUGUCUAAAUUGUCUAAACAUUUUUCUUUUUCAGUCAUAUGUCCUUGGGCAGCUUCUAGGAGCAAGGAAGGCAAACAGAGUGUAUACUGAUGGGAGAAGAGACGGUGGUACUAGAAGACACUUACAAGCUAAGAAAUAUCUGGAGGAUAUGGAGAGAUAAAUCACUGCACCUUCCAAGAUGAUUCUGAACAACCACACAAACUAUUCUUUAAUGCCCAGAAAUGUAUGGCUUCUUCUACUUAAUCCAUUUCUUCUAUACAACGUGAAGAAAACAAGUGCAAAGGAUAGACUAAGGUCAUGGACUACAGGUGCUUUGCUGGUAGGUUAACUAUGGCGACCACACUUGAGGGGAGAAAUCCUACACUAACAAAGAACUAACAAGGAUGUACAACAAUGUACUUUAUUUUUAAAAUAUAGAAAUACAGAGAAAAAAUAAGUGCACAAUUGCAGAUGUGUUCAUUGAGAGAUUGCAGAGCAGCAGCAAUGGCGCCACAUUGUGGCAGCGGGUCAUUUUUCUGCUAGCAAAGUUAUCUCUCAGAAUUGAGUU